GGUAGUUUCUGUCUUUUCUGGAACUUGAAAGCAGCUUUUGUUGUGUGAGAAACCACAGUUUGGAUCAAGAUAAUGGAUUUCCAUUGUGCUCCACCGAAGGAAGUCAGUCAGGCCUGGAACAACAUGAGGAUCAAGACAGGAAGUGGAGAGGUUGUUGAUGGAUGGUCACACCAAGCUUUCGUUUCUCUUCUCAAAUAAGCCUAUAUUGUCUUGAAAGUUGUAAAGCCAUGAAAGGAGUUGGCGCCGUGGUGGAGUUUUCAACCUCCGCCUUGUCUGCUCAGAUCAUCAAAGCUUUCAAGAAAAAAACUGAAGACACACCUCUUCCACAAGAGCUGAACUACCACAACAAGAAACAAAGAAACUUACUGUAACUCCUAUUUAUGAAAAACAAUAUUUUGACAUUUCACUUCUAAUCCCGUUUGUGCACAAACUAUUUCUUAAAAUGAAUGGUUGAUCUCUAUAAUGGCAUGUCCAUCAAGAUUUAGGGAAGAAUACUGUAUGCCAUUCAGAAUUCCUCUUUAGUGUUUUUGUGUUCAUUUGAAAGGUGAAUCAAUGCAUCCAUGCAAAUAAAUAAAUAAACAUUACUGGUGUGCAUCUUGAGACAGAACAAUGGCAGCAUAGGUGGAAAUCACUGGGGGGGUCGGUGCAAAAAAUGUUUUAAGUUUAGAAACCUUUUGAGUCACCCCUCCCUUCC